CACGCCGUAAACGAUGGAUGCUAGGUGUGGGAGGUAUCGACCCCUUCCGUGCCAUAGUUAACGCAAUAAGCAUCCCGCCUGGGGAGUACGGUCGCAAGACUGAAACUCAAAGGAAUUGACGGGGGCCCGCACAAGCAGCGGAGCGUGUGGUUUAAUUCGAAGCAACGCGAAGAACCUUACCAAGGCUUGACAUCCCUCGCUAGCCUGGGAAACCAGGUGUUCCCUUCGGGGACGAGGAGACAGGUGG
rnacentral:rRNA from 1 species